rnacentral:rRNA from 1 species
CCAGACUCCUACGGGAGGCAGCAGUGGGGAAUAUUGCACAAUGGGCGAAAGCCUGAUGCAGCAACGCCGCGUGAAGGAAGAAGGGUUUCGGCUCGUAAACUUCUAUCAACAGGGACGAAAGAAAUGACGGUACCUGAAUAAGAAGCCCCGGCUAACUACGUGCCAGCAGCCGCGGUAAUACGUAGGGGGCGAGCGUUAUCCGGAUUUACUGGGUGUAAAGGGAGCGUAGACGGCCAUGCAAGCCUGAUGUGAAAGGUGUGGGCACAACCCGCACACUGCAUUGGGAACUGUAUGGCUAGAGUGUCGGAGGGGCAGGCGGAAUUCCUGGUGUAGCGGUGAAAUGCGUAGAUAUCAGGAGGAACACCGGUGGCGAAGGCGGCCUGCUGGACGACGACUGACGUUGAGGCUCGAGAGCGUGGGGAGCGAACAGGAUUAGAUACCCCAGUAUA